GGGGCCGUAGUCUAGCCAGGGAUGACGACAGUCGAACCGAAGAGACGGUGUCAACCGUUAAGGGCUCCAGACCCGUAGGUCGUCGGUUCAACUCCGGCCGGCCCCACCA
rnacentral:tRNA from 1 species